rnacentral:rRNA from 1 species
GACGUAGGGCGCGAGCGUUGUCCGGAUUUAUUGGGCGUAAAGAGCUCGUAGGCGGUCUGUCACGUCGGCUGUGAAAACCCGGGGCUCAACCCCGGGCCUGCAGUCGAUACGGGCAGACUAGAGUGCGGUAGGGGAGACUGGAAUUCCUGGUGUAGCGGUGAAAUGCGCAGAUAUCAGGAGGAACACCGGUGGCGAAGGCGGGUCUCUGGGCCGUAACUGACGCUGAGGAGCGAAAGCGUGGGGAGCAAACAGG